AGCAUAUCAAUAAGCGGAGGAAAAGAAACUAACAAGGAUUCCCCUAGUAACUGCGAGUGAAGCGGGAAAAGCUCAAAUUUAAAAUCUGGCGGUCCUNGGCCGUCCGAGUUGUAGUCUGGAGAAGUGCUUUCCGCGCUGGACCGUGUACAAGUCUCUUGGAACAGAGCGUCAUAGAGGGUGAGAAUCCCGUCUUUGACAUGGACUACCAGUGCUUUGUGAUGCGCUCUCAAAGAGUCGAGUUGUUUGGGAAUGCAGCUCAAAAUGGGUGGUGAAUUCCAUCUAAAGCUAAAUAUUGGCGAGAGACCGAUAGCGAACAAGUACCGUGAGGGAAAGAUGAAAAGCACUUUGGAAAGAGAGUUAAACAGUACGUGAAAUUGCUGAAAGGGAAACGCUUGAAGUCAGUCACGUUGGCCGGAACUCAGCCUUGCUCUUUGCAUGGUGCACUUUCUGGUUGACGGGUCAGCAUCAGUUUUGACCGUCGGAAAAAGGCUGGAGGAAUGUGGCACCUUCGGGUGUGUUAUAGCCUCUGGUCACAUACGACGGUUGGGACUGAGGAUCUCAGCACGCCUUUUUGGCCGGGGCUUUGCCCACGUUCGUGCUUAGGAUGCUGGCAUAAUGGCUUUAAGCGACCCGUCUUGAAACACGGACCAAGGAGUCUAACAUACCUGCGAGUGUUUGGGUGGAAAACCCGAGCGCGUAAUGAAAGUGAAAGUUGAGAUCCCUGUCGUGGGGAGCAUCGACGCCCGGACCUGACGUUCUCUGACGGAUCCGCGGUAGAGCAUGUAUGCUGGGACCCGAAAGAUGGUGAACUAUGCCUGAAUAGGGUGAAGCCAGAGGAAAC
rnacentral:rRNA from 1 species